rnacentral:rRNA from 1 species
UACAGAGGGGGCGAGCGUUGUUCGGAAUUACUGGGCGUAAAGGGCGCGUAGGCGGCCUGCUAAGUCAUACGUGAAAUCCCUCGGCUCAACCGAGGAACUGCGUCUGAUACUGGUUGGCUUGAAUUCGGGAGAGGGAUGCGGAAUUCCUGGUGUAGCGGUGAAAUGCGCAGAUAUCAGGAGGAACACCAAUGGCGAAGGCAGCUCGCUGGGACGUGACUGACGCUGAGACGCGAAAGCGUGGGGAGCAAACAGG